CAAGAUUCUUGACAUUGUUUUAGCAUAUUAAAAUUUCAAAUUAGCUCGGGUAAAAAAGCCAUUCAUGUGAUUGUCUUGUAUAUACAUGGGCUUCUCCAGACUGGGUAAUCUCUGUGUGUGGAGCCAUGUUAUGGAGCCUUAGUUUUGAGUGAAAUGCUAAGCUUUUAGUGGUGACUUGUCACUCAGACCCUUUACAUAAUUCUUUUCCAUCUCUUCUGCUUUCUAUAAUUUACUUUGUACUUCAUUUUAGUGUAGUAUCUUCUUGUAGAGUAUAAGAAAGGAGAGACAAGUGCCUAGAUUUAAAAUAUAAGUGCCAUCCAGCAUCUCAUCACUCAAAGACCUUGACAGUUGAGUAUUUGGCUUAUUUUUUUCCCAGCAUUUUUCUUCUAGUUUUUCUCAAGGGGACGGUGCUUGUGCUAUACACUUAUGUUUUGCUUUCUUCACUUGCGUUUGUUAUAACAAAUGUUUUAAAAUACGGCGUUUAAAGAAUUUCUCAGAGAAUGUUUCUCACAUUUGCUGAGUAGUUUUUUCAGUCAUUAAGAUGAUUCCAUUUAUUGCUCAUUUUUCUUUUUUUGCAAUCAAUUGUAUUUAUUUUAUUUAGAGUAAUUGUAUGUGGGUCUGAUUCCAAG
rnacentral:lncRNA from 1 species